UAGGGAAUCUUCGGCAAUGGACGAAAGUCUGACCGAGCAACGCCGCGUGAGUGAAGAAGGUUUUCGGAUCGUAAAACUCUGUUGUUAGAGAAGAACAAGGACGUUAGUAACUGAACGUCCCCUGACGGUAUCUAACCAGAAAGCCACGGCUAACUACGUGCCAGCAGCCGCGGUAAUACGUAGGUGGCAAGCGUUGUCCGGAUUUAUUGGGCAUAAAGCGAGCGCAGGCGGUUUCUUAAGUCGGAUGUGAAAGCCCCCGGCUCAACCGGGGAGGGUCAUUGGUGACUGGGAGACUUGACUGCAGAAGAGGAGAGUGGAAUUCCAUGUGUAGCGGUUAAAUGCGUAGAUAUAUGGAGGAACACCAGUGGCGAAGGCGGCUCUCUGGUCUGUAACUGACGCUGAGGCUCGAAAGCGUGGGGAGCAAACAGG
rnacentral:rRNA from 1 species